UUACAAAAAUGUCUGCUACGGAGCCAUAACGUGAGGUACAAGGGGCAACACCAGCGAGGAGUCUGAAGGAGAAGCUAGUGUCCAGGAAGAUUCAGCCACCGCUGACAAUCCAGUCUCAGCUGCAGCGGAGGAUGAAGGGAAGGAUGAAGAUGUGGCAGAAAACACAGAACUGACAUCUUCUGCAACAGAAAACAGUGUCAACAGCACCAAGGAACCUGAGGAUGGUGAAGCAGGCCGGGAGGCUUCCCCCCACCCCUGACACUGGAACAACAACAACUCAAACUGGAAAGAAUAAAAUAAAGGCACCUUGUUGUGCUAUAUCUCGCAGCAAGGGGUUUGUGUGCAGGACAGGACGCCCAUGAGUUCCUCGGCUGUGUGCUGAAUCAGCUGAGGUGUGUGUCCUGCAGGCCGAAGCAUUCAAUAAGGGCUUCAGUUACACCUGCCCUGUUGACGCUAACAUCACGUUCCAGAUGUCGAGCACCAGGACCUGCAAUAGGUCUUGAGAUGAUACAGACCAAGUUUGAAGUCCA